rnacentral:sRNA from 1 species
UUUUUGCGUUAGGGAUAGUAGUGAAAAUCCUUUUUUGUUUUUACAAAAAAGAUUGCAGCGGAUAGCCCGCUCGAAC